GACGAACGCUGGCGGCGUGCUUAACACAUGCGAGUCGAACGCUGAAGCACCAGCUUGCUGGUGUGGAUGAGUGGCGAACGGGUGAGUAAUACGUGAGUAACCUGCCCUUGACUCUGGGAUAAGCCCGGGAAACUGGGUCUAAUACUGGAUGCUACAUGUCACCGCAUGGUGGUGUGUGGAAAGGGUUUACUGGUCUUGGAUGGGCUCACGGCCUAUCAGCUUGUUGGUGAGGUAAUGGCUCACCAAGGCGACGACGGGUAGCCGGCCUGAGAGGGUGACCGGCCACAAUGGGACUGAGACACGGCCCAGACUCCUACGGGAGGCAGCAGGGGGGAAUAUUGCACAAUGGGCGAAAGCCGGAUGCAGCGACGCCGCGUGAGGGAUGACGGCCUUCGGGUUGUAAACCUCUUUCAGCAGGGAAGAAGCCACAAGUGACAGUACCUGCAGAAGAAGCGCCGGCUAACUACGUG
rnacentral:rRNA from 1 species